rnacentral:rRNA from 1 species
UGGGGAAUAUUGGACAAUGGGCGAAAGCCUGAUCCAGCAAUGCCGCGUGGGUGAAGAAGGUCUUCGGAUUGUAAAGCCCUUUCGGCGGGGACGAUGAUGACGGUACCCGCAGAAGAAGCCCCGGCUAACUUCGUGCCAGCAGCCGCGGUAAUACGAAGGGGGCUAGCGUUGCUCGGAAUGACUGGGCGUAAAGGGCGCGUAGGCGGCGCACUUAGUCGGGCGUGAAAGUCCUGGGCUCAACCUGGGGACGGCGCUCGAUACGGGUGUGCUUGAGUGUGGAAGAGGGUUGUGGAAUUCCCAGUGUAGAGGUGAAAUUCGUAGAUAUUGGGAAGAACACCGGUGGCGAAGGUGGCAACCUGGUCCAUUACUGACGCUGAGGCGCGAAAGCGUGGGGAGCAAACA